UACACUCCUGCGGGAGGCAGCAGUGGGGAAUUUUGGACAAUGGGCGAAAGCCUGAUCCAGCAAUGCCGCGUGUGUGAAGAAGGCCUUCGGGUUGUAAAGCACUUUUGUCCGGAAAGAAAUCCUUGGCUCUAAUACAGUCGGGGGAUGACGGUACCGGAAGAAUAAGCACCGGCUAACUACGUGCCAGCAGCCGCGGUAAUACGUAGGGUGCGAGCGUUAAUCGGAAUUACUGGGCGUAAAGCGUGCGCAGGCGGUUUGCUAAGACCGAUGUGAAAUCCCCGGGCUCAACCUGGGAACUGCAUUGGUGACUGGCAGGCUAGAGUAUGGCAGAGGGGGGUAGAAUUCCACGUGUAGCAGUGAAAUGCGUAGAGAUGUGGAGGAAUACCGAUGGCGAAGGCAGCCCCCUGGGCCAAUACUGACGCUCAUGCACGAAAGCGUGGGGAGCAAACAGGAUUAGAUACCCGAGUAGUCCCAU
rnacentral:rRNA from 1 species